GAUGAACGCUGGCGGCGUGCCUAAUACAUGCAAGUCGAGCGAACAGACGAGGAGCUUGCUCCUCUGACGUUAGCGGCGGACGGGUGAGUAACACGUGGAUAACCUACCUAUAAGACUGGGAUAACUUCGGGAAACCGGAGCUAAUACCGGAUAAUAUAUUGAACCGCAUGGUUCAAUAGUGAAAGACGGUUUUGCUGUCACUUAUAGCUGGAUCCGCGCCGCAUUAGCUAGUUGGUAAGGUAACGGCUUACCAAGGCAACGAUGCGUAGCCGACCUGAGAGGAUGAUCGGCCACACUGGAACUGAGACACGGUCCAGACUCCUACGGGAGGCAGCAGUAGGGAAUCUUGCGCAAUGGGCGAAAGCUUGACGGAGCAACGCCGCGUGAGUGAUGAAGGUCUUCGGAUCGUAAAACUCUGUUAUUAGGGAAGAACAAAUGUGUAAGUAACUAUGCACGUCUUGACGGUACCUAAUCAGAAAGCCACGGCUAACUACGUG
rnacentral:rRNA from 1 species